rnacentral:rRNA from 1 species
UACGAAGGGGGCUAGCGUUGCUCGGAAUCACUGGGCGUAAAGCGCACGUAGGCGGACUCUUAAGUCGGUGGUGAAAUCCUGGAGCUCAACUCCAGAACUGCCUUCGAUACUGAGAGUCUCGAGUCCGGGAGAGGUGAGUGGAACUGCGAGUGUAGAGGUGAAAUUCGUAGAUAUUCGCAAGAACACCGGUGGCGAAGGCGGCAUCCUGGACCGACACUGACACUGAGGAGCGAAAGCCAGGGGAGCAAACGGG